UCCGCCCCCAGCGUCUGCUCUGGGCCUGGGAGACCCCAUCACCCCCGCCCCCACCCCACAUAGCCCCAUUGUGAGUCCGUGUAGCUGGCCUUGUCUGUUGACUUCUCUCCAUCCCGGGGCGGGGGGGGGGGGGGGGGGGGGCCGGUUCAGGUGCCUGGGGUGGAGGGUGGAGGGGUGAGGCGGUGCGGGGCUCGGAGACCAGCCUCAGAGCUCCCCAGGCUCCUUAGACCCACUCAAGAACUUGCCAGUAAAAUGAGGGACAAUGUGCAUAUUGGAAAAUUCAAGUCCAGGCAGGUGGGCUAUAUGCAUGUUCCAGGCUGCUGUUUGCCGUGGCCCUGGAGGACCUCACUGGAGAACAAAUAUUGAUGCUUUGUUAGCGCACACAGACAUUCUCGGCAAUGCUGAUUAGCGCUUGGGGCUGAUCCGACCAAGGUCAGGGGCUUGUGCCCCCUCAAACUGCACCCAUUAGCUUCUCUUAGAGCUCCUCUCAACGUGGACCAGCUACACUUGAAGUGCUCAAGAGCCACACUCAGCUGGUCGCUACCUUACAGAUGGCGCAGGUCCAGAAGAUGGGCCUCAGAACUGAGUCUGACCUGUUAAACGACCCUGCACACGGCUAUUGGGGGGAUUUCUUAAGUCUCUGGGUAAAGCUACGGAAAACAAAUGGUGGCUCCAGGAGCUGGUCCUUAAAGCAAUCGGUGAGUCCCAAGAUUAAAAUUCAACUGCAGCCAAAUUCUGCUAUAAACAGCUUCCCUCCACCUGGGGUCCGGGAGGCGGGCAGACGCAGUCCCCUCUCCUGGGCAUCCACCCAUGAAAGCCCCGCCUCACGGCAUCACCCAAAGCUGUCAAUUACCCGUCAUGCCCGCCCGGCUCCCAGCUACAGCAGGCUUUUACAGUCCGUCUGUAAGGCGCUCUCAAUUUGUGGCCGGACCUUCCUAAGGCUUGUUCUUACCCAGCAAUCCAAAUAAAAAUAGUGCUAUUGAUCACAAAGGCAUCAAUAACGUCAGCCCUAAAGCUACUCGUGCACAUUUUUAAUUGUCCUGUCCCUUUUUAUAUCUUUAAAUAUCACCAUAAGCUUCUAGGAGACAGGCUUCCUCUCCUUGGGAGGGAGGAAAGCGCUCUCCCCGCUCAGCUGAAAGCAGUCGGGAUUGUACCUCACACUGUUAAUGAUGGCGAGGUCCCUUUUCGUGAAGAAGAAAAUAAACCACCGGCUGACCCCACUUUGGGCCCGGUGUUAGAACGCAGAGGAAAUGCUGUCCCAUUACGCCUAAUUUCUCAUUGUUUUCCCGACUGGUUCACAUCCCAGCAAUUAUGCUUCAUUUGCUGGAACAGAGAACAGUAAAAUGCCCAGCUGGUAGGCAAUCCCCCCGUGAUUAAAGCAUGGGCCGAUCAGAAAGCUGACGUCCAAUAGAUUAAUCAAGAAAUAAGGAAGGAAUGCCUGUGUUUGAUGCUUGUGAAUCUGCACAUGUGGAUCUCCAGAUGUUUCAACUUAAUUUUUACCGCCAUAAAAACUAAGAAAGAGAAAACGGGAGUGAUGCCAACAGCCAGGCAAACGCCCCCAGCAAAGCGACCAUUCGGCAGCCUCUGGAAUCUUCUUCUCAUGUCUGGUGGAAGGCAGGCUCCUCCCCAGAGCCGUAAGCAGGGCCUUCCUGGGGCCUCUCGAAGUGUGUGCAACGUGGAGAAAAAUUAUCGGCUCCGAAAUUUGACAAGAAAGCAGCAAAAUCAAAAUUAAUAAAUGCUUCAUUAAACGCCUGCCAAAUACAGCAAUGAGGCCUCCUCGGCGCUUGUUGGAUGCAGUAUUCACGAUGCGGUCGUCAUAAAAACUUCAUUACAUUUGAGAAAACAGCUACGAGAACUCCUAAGGAUGCUAUUGGUUGUGGGGGGAAUCACAGGUAAUUCCGACUUUGAUGAAUUACCCACCACCAGAUAAUUUAAGAAGCUGAAUCAUU
rnacentral:lncRNA from 1 species